rnacentral:lncRNA from 1 species
AAUAAAUAGAAUCACCAUGGCAAAUCCGGAACAACUAAGAGAGGCUUUUAAAGGCAAGAUUGCCUUCUCCAGAAGCUCAUUCUUCAAGUCCCCUCCCCAUGCAAGCAAAGAAAGGCAUGCGCUGUGAAAGUUGCAUGGCAUGACAUCCUCUCAAACGCUACCUGACAGACUGCUGCAAUCACCCUGUGAAUAUUGUCUUCAUUUCCUUGUUGAUUGGUUUGAACCUGGGGUCAUUAUCUCUGCUUUGCAAAUGAAGAAGAGAAAGAAGCUCAAAAAGGACAAGAAACUUUCCCCAAAUCGAACAGGUAGUAAGUGAUAAAGGCCUAAAAUGAACCUGGGUCUUGACUCCUGGGUUGGUGUGUUUCAAUCAUGUUAACUCCCAGCCCCAGGAAGCUUGGUGAAUAUUACCAGAGAUAGGACAUAGCAAAUCUGGAAGGACA